CCUACGGUGUGCAGCAGUGAGGAAUAUUGGUCAAUGUGAGAGAUCCUGAACCAGCCAAGCCGCGUGAGGGAAGACGGCCCUAUGGGUUGUAAACCUCUUUUGUCGGAGAACAAAACCCGGGACGUGUCCCGGACUUCGUGUAUCCGAAGAAAAAGCAUCGGCUAACUCCGUGCCAGCAGCCGCGGUAAUACGGUGGAUGCGAGCGUUAUCCGGAUUUAUGGGGUUUAAAGGGUUCGUAGGCGGUCCGUUAAGUCAGCGGUAAAAUUGCGGGGCUAAACGCCGUCCAGCCGUUGAAACUGGCAGACUUGAGUUGGCGAGAAGUACGCGGAAUGCGCGGUGUAGCUGUGAAAUGCAUAGAUAUCGCGCAGAACUCCGAUUGCGAAGGCAGCGUACCGGCGCCAGAUUGACGCUGAGGCACGAAAGCGUGGGGAUCGAACAGGAUUAGAUACCCGAGUAGUC
rnacentral:rRNA from 1 species